rnacentral:rRNA from 1 species
UACGAAGGGGGUUAGCGUUGUUCGGAUUUACUGGGCGUAAAGCGCACGUAGGCGGAUUGUUAAGUCAGGGGUGAAAUCCCGGAGCUCAACUCCGGAACUGCCUUUGAUACUGGCAAUCUUGAGGCUGGAAGAGGUUAGUGGAAUUCCCAGUGUAGAGGUGAAAUUCGUAGAUAUUGGGAAGAACACCAGUGGCGAAGGCGGCUAACUGGUCCAGAUCUGACGCUGAGGUGCGAAAGCGUGGGGAGCAAACAGG